rnacentral:rRNA from 1 species
UACAGAGGGGGCAAGCGUUGUUCGGAAUUACUGGGCGUAAAGGGCGCGUAGGCGGCCCUCUAAGUCAGACGUGAAAUCCCUCGGCUCAACCGGGGAACUGCGUCCGAUACUGGUGGGCUCGAAUCCGGGAGAGGGAUGUGGAAUCCCAGGUGUAGCGGUGAAAUGCGUAGAUAUCUGGAGGAACACCGGUGGCGAAGGCGGCAUCCUGGACCGGCAUUGACGCUGAGGCGCGAAAGCCAGGGGAGCAAACGGG